GGUGUUAUCCUAUCUGAGCUUUUAGUCCUUCCAUUUUUUUUUUUAAUUUUCAGGUUUCAUUCUAUGAUGCAUUGCAUUAUUCUCUUUUCUUGACCUUGUAAGGCCUUUUCUUGACCUUUAACAAAUAUUAAAGGAGGUGAAAAAAGUCUCACUAUCAAGGGGGACUGGCAAAAGGGCAAUGAAUAAGGAAACGGGCAAAAAGAAUUAUGCCUUUACUCUCUCUCUCUCUCUUUUAAGGCUUUGGACAGGAAUUUACUUUUGUUUUAUGUGUUGUGUUUGUUUGGGUCUGACUGAGUGACUGACCCCAAAGGGCAAAGGCCACAAAGCCAAAACCAGAGAACUCUCUUAUUAAAUAUUCCUUCAGAAUCAUUUAUUGCCUC